AUACGGAGGGGGCUAGCGUUGUUCGGAAUUACUGGGCGUAAAGCGCGCGUAGGCGGUUUGCCAAGUCAGGCGUGAAAUCCCCGGGCUCAACCUGGGAACUGCGUUUGAAACUGGCAGACUAGAGGCCGGGAGAGGGUAGUGGAAUUCCCAGUGUAGAGGUGAAAUUCGUAGAUAUUGGGAAGAACACCGGUGGCGAAGGCGGCUACCUGGACCGGUUCUGACGCUGAGGUGCGAAAGCGUGGGGAGCAAACAGGAUUAGAAACCCCGGUAGUCC
rnacentral:rRNA from 1 species